CCGGCCGUACGCCGAGUCCAGAGUCCGAGCCUCCUCCCCCUACCCAAGCGCUUCGCCCCCACUCUCGCCAGGCGAGAGUGUCACCCGCCGAAGGCUCCCGCCACAAACCCGGGCCCCGCCUCCCUUCCCCGCGGCACUGCCACCCCCUCCUCCCACGCUGCGCCCGGGCCAAACGCGCCCCUCGGAGUCCGAGGCUCCGGGGCAUCGAGCGUACCCGCCCAGCUCCUUCCCCACUCCCCUAAGGAAAAGCACCCGCCCUCUCCCCCCUCCAAUUCCGUGGGUGCCUGAGACGCCGGAGGUGGGGCGGCAGAGGGGUCGGCCCCUUCUGGCCGUGCCACCGCCCGGUGGCCAACGUGCCCAGAGAGACCACAGGGUGCGUGGAGGCCACAAGUGCGCGCAGGGUUGCCACAAAAGAGCGUUUUUGAUCGGGGGCUCGGCGGUCCCCCACCCUGGCCCAGCCUCCAAAGAUCGGGGCGGGAGGCCAGAGCAGGGGAGGGGACCCGUAGGGAAGAGAAGGCCAGCGGCUGGAAGGGUAGGCCGGAAAGAUAGAUGGACCAGGACCGACGGUCGAAGAGCAAAAGUUUGGGCACGGGACACGCGCUUAGACGGGAGCCAAGAUCUCAAGGGAGCCCAGGACCUACGAAGGCAGCCCCGUGGUGAUGAGGGGACUCCCGAGCGGGAGCCACUCCUCGAGUUCAUCCUCGCGUCGUCGAAAUUGAGGACCUUCUGCCCGCCUCCCGGGGGGCCCUGCUAACGGAAACGGGCUACCAGGUCUGUUGGGGCGCGGCCAGAGUCAGGAGGGCGGGCGGCGAAGAGGCUCCGGGUGGAGCCUCCAUACUUGCUUCUUGCUCAGGGUGGUGGGUGGGUGAAGAGGUCGCCCCCGGAGCAGAGUCGCGCGGGCAGCGGGGCUCUUGGGUCCGCAGCCUGCAGGAGUAGGUCCAGGAGGCCACAUUUCAGGGAGACGCGCCGCGGAGGGAGGUCGUCGGCGGGUGUUGGCGCGGCUUCACCAGCUCCCUGGACAUCCUUCGAGUGCGAGGAAGCUCAGCGGAUGGACGAUCCUCUGUUAGGCAGACGGAGGGCCUGAGCUGCACUGAUCCCCCGCAGCCGGAUUCCUUCGACUAUGAUUUUUGCAAACACCCUGGAAACUUGAGCUGGGGUCAAGUACUCCUGGGUCUGGACCUGACGUUGAUCUCUUAACAGCCAGUCCCUUGCAUCAUCCGGCCUUCAGUCUCUCCAACUGUGUGAGGGAGAAAAUGAAAGGGCCCUGGCACUGGCUUGGCAUAGCAGGCGCCAAACAGAGAAAGUUGAGUCACGAAAAAAUUUAACAGCUUGCCCAGCUCACCUGCUGAGAGGUGCCCGGAGUCCUCUUUGUGGAAACCUCGCUGCCUCCAGGUGAGGUGGGCUGGGCCUGCAACAACCUCUCCAACCUCAGCGGAGAGGUAGACUGCCCAGCCUUUCCUCACAAGCUCUCUGGAAAAUUCUUAGCAGACAAAGAACUCUCAGUGAAGAUUACGAAGGCAUCGCCUUGGGGGCUCCAUCCUACUCUGGUGUCUGCUGGGAGCUCACAACACCCACCACAGCAGCAGGGCCUGCCCGCGGCUGGAGAAGCCACAGAGCUCAGAGCAGGACGGGCUCGUUGGAGCAUGUGGUCCAGCAGCUAAAUUUACACGCGGCGACCGGAUGGCUUAGCGGGUCAGGCCCACAGCCAGGGCUUGACUUGACCCCGGUCUCCAGAUGCCCCUCCCAGGGCUCCUCGGACCCACAUCUGAGUGUCAGCCCAGAAUGAAGAGGUGCCUUCCCUGAGGACAGAGAAACACGAGACCAGGGGCGCCAGCCCUCCAUCCCUGACUCGAUGAAGAUGAGGCUUCCUGGUAAGCAGGGGGCACUACGGGGCCACCAGUGCCAGACUGGCUCAGGCUUGCCUGAGGCUCCGUCGUGGGGGACAUGGGAAGCCUUUGGCAGGUAGGUGGGCAGGAGAGAGGUGGCGCUCCCUGGAGACCCAGAGGCCGUGCCCUUCCUGCUGCUGAGCGCACUUCGAAGGUGGGUUCCUCUUCCUCUGUGUUGCACCAGCAGGCACAGGGCAGCUGGUGAUGAGGCGGGGGGCAGGCAGUUCUAACUUCUGCUCUUCAUCAGUCUGAAGACAGCCCCCCACCCCUCACCCCGAGAGCUCCAGGCUUCAGCUUUACCUCCUCAAACAGGGGAGGUGAGUUUGGCUCCAACAGAGGGAGGAGGGGAAAGCAGCCUGGUUGAAGGUGGGUGUUUUGUGAUGGGGGGAGGAGGGGGACGAACAGUCCCCGCCUUCCCCACGGUCCCCACGUUCUCACCCCAGGUCCUUCCCUCUAGGUGAGCAUGGGCACUUAGCCCCUCACCACUCAUCCGUCCUUUGCAGAAGCUGUUUGCUUUCUCUGACCACCGGGUUUCUGACUCAGGUCCUAGAAUCCAAGGAUCUGAAGGAAUAUUUGGGGUUAUUUGGGCCAACGUUCUAUACUAUGCCUGAUCCAUCCCAAGCUGCUGUCCAGGCUGUGCUUAUAUACCUGCAGAGAUGGUGAUGCCAGAAUUCGGCCUCUGUCUGCAGAUGCCGAAUUAAAACACAGAGACAGAGUUUGGGGUAAAGGAGAAAAAAAAAAAUA